UACGUAGGGUGCGAGCGUUGUCCGGAAUUACUGGGCGUAAAGAGCUCGUAGGUGGUUUGUCGCGUUGUUCGUGAAAUUCCCUGGCUUAACUGGGGGCGUGCGGGCGAUACGGGCAGACUGGAGUACUGCAGGGGAGACUGGAAGUUCCUGGUGUAGCGGUGGAAUGCGCAGAUAUCAGGAGGAACACCGGUGGCGAAGGCGGGUCUCUGGGCAGUAACUGACGCUGAGGAGCGAAAGCGUGGGGAGCGAACAGG
rnacentral:rRNA from 1 species